CAUCAGACACGAAGGAGAGGCCAACAGAUGAGGGAAGCCAUUUUUCUGCAAUGGAAUUAAAUGGCCAAAGCAGUAAACAGUCCUCAGCGAAGCCGCCUUUUUGCCUACCCAACCCUGGAAAGUUUGCAGAAGUGGAAGGAGCAGAACGUGAGGGUGUAACUUACAAAAAGGUUCUGGGCCGGAGAAGGGGCGACGUUCGGGCACCCCCCGAAUGGACAAUCUUUCCUUCUGUCAACGGCAGGGGCAGGCCUAGUUUGACUCUGACAGUCCUCCCACUAAGGAAUUCCUGGUGACUGGAAGGGGGAGUGACUCAGGCCCUCAACCUCUAGCAGAGUGCCUUGGCUCCCUCCUGUCGUCCUGGGGAACCUCGGCCCCAGCCCUGCCUCCCCAGCCAGUCACAGCUCCUCCCUGGUCACCCUGAGGGAGCUCAGGGCCCGGCUGGUAGCUGGGUUGCUCUGCUUCUGUCCCCCACUCCUGUGGAGCCUGGCAGGCAACUCCAUGAUCUGACCCCGGUUACCUUGACAGCCCUGCCUGGCCUCCCCUCUCAUGGCCCAGCCACCCCAGAACCUGAAGAGGUUUUCUAGCUGCCGUGCAUUUGCCAGGCUGGGUUACCCACCCUACUUUCCCUGCCUGCCCUCCAGUGCUGCCAGGCCUAGUGUGCCAGCCAGCGCUCAGCCUUCAGUAAAGGGUUCCCCUGCUUCCAACCUCCAUUGCACUGCUUCCCCUAAGACUGUGACCUCCUGGAAGGCUGGAGCACAACUGCCUCUCAAUAAACGUGUUGCAAAAAAGGAA
rnacentral:lncRNA from 1 species